ACGACUGAUAUAAACUUAUCUGUAGUUAUAUAUAUGUCUAUGUUUGAUUAGAUCUGAUCAGACUUCAAUGAUAUGAAACCUAUAAAUAUUUAAUUACGUAUAUAGGUCCAAUAUAUAUAUAUAUAUAACAUAAUGUUACAAUUUUAAUAUCAAUGUUAUUAAAUUUUUAUUUUCUCAGCUAUCAAUCAAACCUAAAUCCCCAUUACUUAGAAAAAAACCGUUCAUAAAGCACCCUCAGCGCUUUCGCGCUUGAGGUGUGCAAUAUUCAAAGGUUUCGGCAGCAUUUUAAAAGUAUAAAUAGAUAUCGAUUUAUAUAUGGAUAUUUAUAAGUUUAUAGAUAAAAAGAUUUGAUUAUAUUUAUCUAAUGAAUUCUAUUGUAAUUUAUGUACAAAACCAAAUUCAUCAUUAGGUGCAUUAUUUACGUAGGAUGUAUCAAUUUCAUUAUUUGGGUUAAGUAAUGCCAUGAAUUCGCUUUAAUUAUAAGUGUUUAGCAGACUAGAGGACCAGACUACCAUCAAGCGACUGCCAUAGUUAAUCAGCAUCGACGUGGGUCAUUAAUUGGACGGGUGACCCCUUAUUAUAAUAAUAGUUUACCGAUAAUGUAUCGUGUUCACAGUGGUGGAGUGUCUCCCAUGUAAGAUUUUUAUUACAAGUUUUGCCACGAGAUCAAGAACUUGCUCAAGUUUUCGAUCAAGUUGGAGUCCAUAUAUGGCCGAUGGUCACAAUUAUAAUCCUAACAGUAUUUGUGAAGUUACUAAAAAUGCGAUAAAAUGAUGACAAAAACUUGUUAAAUUGUGUUGAAGAACGACAUAGACCUGUAACUGCCAGCAUUAAUUUCUAUAAGACACCUUAACAAGUAAGAUCUGUGCUGGACAGUUUGGACCAUAAAUAUUGUCACGAUGAAGAUUGGUGUUUUGGUGGAGAAAAACGUAAUCAAGUACUAAUGUCUAUUGGUAAACAUCAACAACAAAAAGAAGUUUUUUUUUAAAGCUUGCACUCUAGUACGGCGAAUCGCAGAAAAAUUUUUAAAGUAUACAAAUAGAAACUUACAAUUUUAUAGCUAUGAAAUCAUCAGUAGUGGAUCUGAAAAUAAGAUUAAGAAUAUCUUUGAAGAAUUAUUAAUUAAAGAAAACAAAGCAUUAGAACAUUGGACGCAACGUAGAAAACGGCUUAAUCAUUAUCACCAAUACGUUAUCUUUGAGCGUAGUGCUAAACGGUGCGAAUCAUAUGAAAUAUUUUAAGCCGAAAAAAUUACUCAAAAUAAGGAAGUAUUUAGUAUAAUUGAGAGUUGGCUUCUUCGUAAGAAAAUGUUAAAUAUUUUUUUGUCGUUGUCAGGGUUUAUAUCUCAUAGCCAUGUACUUUAUAAAGAAUUGGGUGCAGUCGAUGAUAAUUUUAAAAUAUCGUCAUCGAUGUUUUCGCAGGUCCUUUAAUAAGGCUAGAGAUAGUAAUACAAUUCCAGGUGGCUUACCAAAUGGCUUCCUUAAUUCGGUCAUCAUCUUAAUAAUAUCGAAAUUAUGAAAACUUAUGAGGUUUUUAGAUGCCAAUGGUAUUAUUGUUACAUUUUGACCAAGUAUAUGAUUAAUUGAUUUUCUCGACA